UACAGAGGUGGCAAGCGUUGUUCGGAAUUACUGGGCGUAAAGGGCGCGUAGGCGGCCUCGCAAGUCCCGUGUGAAAUCCCUCGGCUCAACUGAGGAAUGGCACGGGAAACUGCGGGGCUUGAGUUCGGGAGAGGGAAGCGGAAUUCCGGGUGUAGCGGUGAAAUGCGCAGAUAUCAGGAGGAACACCGGUGGCGAAGGCGGGUCUCUGGGCCGAUACUGACGCUGAGGAGCGAAAGCGUGGGGAGCGAACAGG
rnacentral:rRNA from 1 species